rnacentral:rRNA from 1 species
UACGAAGGGGGGCUAGCGUUGCUCGGAAUCACUGGGCGUAAAGCGCACGUAGGCGGGUUGCUAAGUCAGGGGUGAAAUCCUGGAGCUCAACUCCAGAACUGCCUUUGAUACUGAGAAGCUUGAGUCCGGGAGAGGUGAGUGGAACUGCGAGUGUAGAGGUGAAAUUCGUAGAUAUUCGCAAGAACACCAGUGGCGAAGGCGGCUCACUGGCCCGGUACUGACGCUGAGGUGCGAAAGCGUGGGGAGCAAACAGG